rnacentral:rRNA from 1 species
AGUGGCAGACGGCUGAGUAACGCGUAGGAAUCUUCCCGAAGCUGGGGCAUAGCCACGAGAAAUCGUGGGUAAUUCCCCAUAAUGUCGGUCUUUGAUCGAUUAAAGGGCGUAACUGCUCGGCUACGGAUGAGCCUGCGUCCUAUCAGGUAGUUGGUGGGGUAAUAGCCUACCAAGCCAAUGACGGGUAGCUGGCCUCAUGAGGGUGGUCAGCCAGAGGGGGACUGAGACACGGCCCCCACUCCUACGGGAGGCAGCAAUCAGGAAUAGUCGGCAAUGGGCGAAAGCCUGACCGCGCAAUACCGCGUGUAGGAAGACGCUCGAAAGAGUGUAAACUACUGUGGCGAGGGAAGAAGCCUGGCUUAGCCAGGUUGACGGUACCUCGCUAGAAAGGGGCCGCUAACUUCGUGCCAGAAGCGUCGGUAAUACGAGGGCCUCAAGCGUUAUCCGGUGUUAUUGGGCGUAAAGAGUCGUGUAGGCGGUUUCGUAAGUUAUCUUUUAAAGAUUCCGGCUCAACCGGAAAAAAGGAGGUAAUACUGCGAGACUCGAGUUUUCUCAAGGGAGAAUGGAACUAAAGGAGGAGUAGUGAAAUGCGUUGAUACCUUUAGGAACACCAGUGGCGAAGGCGAUUCUCUGGGAGGAGACUGACGCUGAGACACGAAAGCUAGGGGAGCGAAGCAGAUUAGAGACCUGCGUAGUCCUAGCCGUAAACG